rnacentral:lncRNA from 1 species
GGGUCCGGACACUUUUGGCCCCCAUGACCAUCUGUCUCAGGUCUUGGGACUUGAGCAUUCUGGAAGGAUUCGUUGCAGAUCCGGACAUACACUGACGAGCUAUUGAUUUGAGGUGAGUAUUUUCUCACACGCUUUUGGGGCCGUUAGUCAGGAGCAGCUUGACUAGGCCUUGACGCAGACAACACAGGCUUAGAAGCAUGCAUCUUAGACUCAGGAGUGCGUAUCUCAA